UUUCCGUAGGUGAACCUGCGGAAGGAUCAUUCAUAAUAAGUGUUUUACGGCACUUUUUUAAAUCCAUAUCCACCUUGUGUGCAAUGUCAGGGUUGAUUUUUCUCUCGAGAGGAACAGCCCCAAACAUCAACUAUAUCUCAACUCCUCGUCUGAAAAAUAUUAUGAAUAAAACAAUUCAAAAUACAACUUUCAACAACGGAUCUCUUGGCUCUC
rnacentral:misc_RNA from 1 species